GACGAACGCUGGCGGCGUGCUUAACACAUGCAAGUCGAACGGUGAAGCGCCUUCCUUUUUGGUGGGUGUGGAUGAAUGGCGAACGGGUGAGUAACACGUGAGUAACCUGCCCCCUUCUUCUGGAUAACCGCAUGAAAGUGUGGCUAAUACGGGAUAUUCUGGGUCUGUCGCAUGAUGGGUCUGGGAAAGAUAUUGUUUCGGUGGGGGAUGGGCUCGCGGCCUAUCAGCUUGUUGGUGGGGUGAUGGCCUACCAAGGCGGUGACGGGUAGCCGGCCUGAGAGGGUGGACGGUCACACUGGGACUGAGACACGGCCCGGACUCCUACGGGAGGCAGCGGUGGGGAAUAUGGCACAAUGGGCGCAAGCCUGAUGCAGCGACGCCGCGUGAGGGAUGGAGGCCUUCGGGUUGUGAACCUCUUUCGCCAGUGAAGCAGGCCUGCCUCGUUUGUGGGUGGGUUGACGGUAGCUGGAUAAGAAGCGCCGGCUAACUACGUG
rnacentral:rRNA from 1 species